AUAGAGACUCAGAGCUGCAUAUCAAUAAGCGGAGGAAAAGAAACUAACAAGGAUUCCCUUAGUAACGGCGAGUGAAGCGGGAAGAGCUCAAAUUUGAAAUCUUCAAGGUUCUACCUUGACGAAUUGUAGUUUAUAGAAGUGUUUUCUGUUAGUAGAGUGGCAAAAGUUCUUUGGAAUAGGACAUCAUAGAGGGUGAGAAUCCCGUAUUUGGUCAUUCUUUCUAGCUUUGUGAUACACUUUCAACGAGUCGGAUUGUUUGGGAAUGCAGUCCAAAAUGGGUGGUAAAUUUCAUCUAAAGCUAAAUAUUGGCGAGAGACCGAUAGCGAACAAGUACCGUGAGGGAAAGAUGAAAAGAACUUUGAAAAGAGAGUUAAACAGUACGUGAAAUUGUCAAAAGGGAAGCGUUUGACACCAGUGUUGUUUUUCCGAAAAUCAAUUACGAAUGUUUUAUUUUUGAGAAGUUAUGACUUCAUCGGCUUGCUCCUUUCUUUACGAAACUUUCUUAAUGCACUUUUCGGUUAACAAGUCAACAUCAAUUUCUUUUGUUGUAAAAGGGUAUGAGGAAGGUGGCCUUCUUUUCGGAGAAAGUGUUUAUAGCCUUGUGCCUCUGCAAUCGGAGAGAUUGAGGUCUGCAGCGUAGAUCCUUCGGGGUUAGAUACAUUUGUGCUAAGUUAUAGCUUUUCAUAGACAACUUGUUGACUAUGUUUAGUCUUGUAGCUUACUCGCUUAUGCUAUUUUACCUACGCUUAGGAUGUUGACGAGACUGUCGAUCUC
rnacentral:rRNA from 1 species